rnacentral:rRNA from 1 species
AUUAACGCUGGCAGAGUGCAUAACACAUGCAAGUCGAGCGGGACUGUCUGAGAUUACAUCAAGGGCAGUCUAGCGGCAGACGAGUGAGUAACACGUAAGCAACCUGCCCCUCAAUGGCGAAUAACCAGCCGAAAGGCUGGCUAAUGCGCCGUACACUCCCCGGAAGGCAUCUUCUGGAGAAGAGAGAUCCGCAAGGAUCGUUGAGGGAGGGGCUUGCGGCCCAUCAGCUAGUUGGCGGUGUAACGGACCACCAAGGCUACGACGGGUACCCGGGCUGAAAGGCCGAACGGGCACGAUGGCACUGAGACACGGGCCAUACUCCUACGGGAGGCAGCAGUGGGGAAUUUUGGACAAUGGGGGAAACCCUGAUCCAGCAACUCUGCGUGAGGGACGAAGGUCUUCGGAUCGUAAACCUCUUUUGCACGGGACGAAAUCCGCAAGGUUUGACGGUACCGUGCGAAUAAGCCACGGCUAACUAUGU